CAUGGUCAUAACUGACAAACUCAUGUCCAGGACUGAAUUUCAGAACUCCUCUUCCAGACAAACAAGAAUCUGUAGACCUUCAGACACCCGUCAGGAGUACUUUGAUGCUGGCCACCAGUCAUGGAGUUGAGAAGGAAUAGGACCGAAAAUGAGGAUCAAGCAGUUUAUGUGAGACAGCCACUAUAACAGGCAAGAUAGAAACAUAAGCUAUAAACAUCCGAGGGAAGAAGUUAUAUAUAUCAGAGAUGGUGGAUGAAUUAUGGAAGACAAAGCAGGCCAAGAACCUCAAGUGUUGCUGAUACAGAUCUGUGGCCUUCACAAGGACUGUAUCUCACUGAACAGUUUCUGAAACCCAAUCUUCAUGAGCUCUAACACAGAGAUUCAGCUUCCCAAGAGAGCUCAGAAGAUGGUCCCAGAGCAUCUGGGGUCUUCUAUGGUUCUAGAAACAGAAACCGUUGUCAGAAACCUGAAGAAGGUGCUAAAAGGAUCCGAGGAUUGGAGGAUGCUGCUGCUGGUGCCACCCCAGAUGCCCUGCAGAACUGAUGGGCACUUCGGCGUAUCACCCACUCACAUCCAACUUUUAACUCACCCUAAUGCAGAGGACAGUUUCCCCUUAUAUUAACCACUCAUUUAAAGCUGUCCUCAUGACAUUGUGUCUCUGUGUGUGCAUGUCAUGGGGUGUAGGGUAUGUUUGUAUGUCUAGAGGCCAAAGAUGACAUCAGAUUUGUUAACUCUGAGAAUUGUGAGGAGAAAGAUAAAACCCACAAUCAUUUAUUUA